CGAUUACGGGGCGCUGCAGGCGCGAAGACUCUGCAAUAAGCGAAAGCUUGACAGGGUUAUUCUGAGUGAUUUCCGCUAAGGAAAUCUUUUGGCACCUCUAAAAAUGGUGCAGAAUAAGGGGUGGGCAAGCCUGGUGUCAGCCGCCGCGGUAAUACCAGCACCCCGAGUGGCCGGGACGAUUAUUGGGCCUAAAGCAUCCGUAGCCGGUUCUACAAGUCUUCCGUUAAAUCCACCUGCUCAACAGUUGGGCUGCGGAGGAUACUAUAGAGCUAGGAGGCGGGAGAGGCAAGCGGUACUCAGUGGGUAGGGGUAAAAUCCGCUGAUCCAUAGAAGACCACCAGUGGCGAAGGCGGCUUGCCAGAACGCACUCGACGGUGAGGGAUGAAAGCUGGGGGAGCAAACCGGAUUAGAUACCCGGGUAGUCCCAGCUGUAAACGAUGCAGACUCGGUGAUGAAUAGGCUACGUGCCUAUUCAGUGCCGCAGGGAAGCCGUUAAGUCUGCCGCCUGGGGAGUACGGUCGCAAGGCUGAAACUUAAAGGAA
rnacentral:rRNA from 1 species